rnacentral:rRNA from 1 species
AUACGGAGGAUGCGAGCGUUAUCCGGAUUUAUUGGGUUUAAAGGGAGCGUAGGCGGGAGCUUAAGUCAGCGGUUAAAUGGUGCGGCUCAACCGUGCCCUGCCGUUGAAACUGGGUUUCUUGAGAGUGCAAGAGGCGGAUGGAAUUCAUGGUGUAGCGGUGAAAUGCUUAGAUAUCAUGAAGAACUCCGAUUGCGAAGGCAGUCCGCUGGGGCACGUCUGACGCUGAUGCUCGAAGGUGCGGGAAUCAAACAGGAUUAGAUACCCUGGUAGUCCGUACGGUAAACGAUGAUUACCCGCUGUCGGCGGCAGACAGUCGGCGGCCAAGCGAAAGCGAUAAGUAAUCCACCUGGGGAGUACGCCGGCAACGGUGAAACUCAAAUGAAUUGACGGGG